AUUGAACGCUAGCGGGAUGCCUUACACAUGCAAGUCGAACGAGUGGCGAACGGGUGAGUAAUGUAUCGGAACGUGCCCAGUAGCGGGGGAUAACUACGCGAAAGCGUAGCUAAUACCGCAUACCAUCGGAUGUGCCCAGAUGGGAGUAGCUAGUAGGUGGGGUAACGGCUCACAUAGGCAACGAUCCCUAGCUGGCCUGAGAGGCUGACCAGCCAAACUGGAACUGAGACCCGGUCAGGAUUCCUACGGGAGGCAGCAGUGGGGAAUAUUGCACAAUGGGCGAAAGCUGGAUGCAGCCCUGCCGCGUGUAUGAAGAAGGUCUUCGGGUUGUAAAGUACUUUCAGCGGGGAGGCGUUACCCGCAGAAGAAGCAACGGCUAACUCCGUGCCAGCAGCCGCGGUAAUAC
rnacentral:rRNA from 1 species